CCUGCUUUGUCCACUGCAUUGUUCAAUAUCUAUAAUUUGCUGGUUUAGUUUACUAUCUUCAUUUUGUUUCUUUUCAUAUAAAUUCUUGCUGCUUGUGUGAUGAAGGUGGCUUGCAUUUCUUUCUAAAUUAUGUUUAUAAAUUAGAUGCAAUAAUAUUGAUCCAAUAUAGCAUGAUGCAAAAUUGGAAAAAAGAUGGAGAAACCAUAGGACACAGAGCGCAAAAACUAGUUAGGUAACUCUAUAUACAAGAUGCCUAAAAGCUUGCAACUCAUAUCAGUAAAACCCAUACAAAAAACAUUUAGGUUUUACUCAUGAUAGAUUGACAGGGCCCUAAGAUAAUAAAUAGUCUUUCUUUCACCAAGGGAUAGAUUAUAAGCAUUCUGAGAUGAAGCAGGCAGCAUAGGAUAUGGAGACAGAGCCUUGGAAUCAAUGGUGCUAGCUUCUUUAUCCUCUUCAUGAAUUGUGUCCAUCAUCUUGGAUGUUCUGUGCCUCAUGACGCUUACAAACUGAGGAGGCGCCACUUCUGUAAUGAAUCUAGCAACACGGGCAUUCGCCAUUUUUUUUAAGUGAUGGGAAAGCUAUGGUACGUGGGAGAAGAAAGACAAGAGAAUGGUAUGAUUUGGAGAUGAGCUUGGGUUGGAUUGAAUUUAUACAUACACAGGGAGACACUGGAUGAGGUUUGUUUAAGACUUGAAUUGAGUCGGCAGUCGUUAUCCCGGAGAAUUAAAUGUUUUUAGCAGUUUCUGCCGUCUAUAACUUUUUUCAUUUAUUUGAUUGGGAUAGAUGAGAUGGGACCAUAGAGGAAAGCAUGAAUCACUUGACUUCAUUAUUGGGGCAAGAAGAAAAUGAUGCUAUGUGUCUCAACAUAAGCCCUUGAUUGAAAUCUUGGUUUUAGAUCACAUUUUUUUGUCAUAGGAAAAUUUGAUUCUUGGCUUGAAUCCUGAAUUUGUUAAGUUGCAAUCAUGUAAAAAGAGGGAUAUGUAUAUAUCACAUCCAAAAUUGGCAUGGCUGCCAAGUAAUUUUAGGAUUCAUUUGACACAGCUUUGAUUGACCACCGAAAGUUGUUCUGAUGCAUUUUCAGGGAUGAAUGAAUGGUCUCUCUGGAUGCCGUUUUGGCAAAGGCAGAGGAUUUAGGUUUGCUCAAAAAAGGAUCAAUUUUCUGUGGUCAGAAAUAUUCAUCAUGAGAAAGCAAAUAAGCUACAUCAAUACCUGGGUAGAGUCGGCAUCUUCGCCCCUGAUCUCCCACAGAAAAGCAUCCAAUAAGCCAAAGCUUGAGACUAUUAUGGAAGAAGUGUUGGAGAAUGAUGGUGCUGGCAAUAACAAGGCCCUCUGUUUGGUUCCUCUUGUCCUUUCCUUAGCUUCCUAUAUGCUGAUAAACAUAUUUUUCAUGAUUCUAUAGCAAACCUCUGUAAUCUACAUUUAUAGUAAAGGGUAUUUUUGUGUUCAUGAGGAUACUGCUAUUGCUUCUAUCUCCCUAAGAUCUUCCACCUGUUGAUCUCUUCCAUACCCCAAAGCUCUUCAAAGAGCAGCAGUCAAAAGUUCAGAGGCAAAUAAAGACCAUAUAUAUUGAUUGUACAAAAGGGAUUUAGAACAUCAUUUGAUGAUGAAGGAUUUUCGUAUGUAUAGUCUAUGAUACAGAGGAAA